GAUGAAGAACGUAGCGAAAUGCGAUACGUAAUGUGAAUUGCAAAUUCAGUGAAUCAUCGUGUCUUUGAACGCACAUUGCGCCCCCUGGUAUUCCGGGGGGCAUGCCUGUCCGAGCGUCAUUGCUGCCCUCAAGCACGGCUUGUGUGUUGGGCCCCGUCCUCCGAUCCCGGGGGACGGGCCCGAAAGGCAGCGGCGGCACCGCGUCCGGUCCUCGAGCGUAUGGGGCUUUGUCACCCGCUCUGUAGGCCCGGCCGGCGCUUGCCGAUCAACCCAAAUUUUUAUCCAGGUUGACCUCGGAUCAGGUAGGGAUACCCGCUGAACUUAAGCAUAUCAAUAAGCGGAGGA
rnacentral:misc_RNA from 1 species